AUUGAACGCUGGCGGCAUGCCUUACACAUGCAAGUCGAGCGGCAGCGCGGGGGCAACCCUGGCGGCGAGCGGCGAACGGGUGAGUAAUGCAUCGGAACGUGUCCUCUUGUGGGGGAUAACCAGUCGAAAGACUGGCUAAUACCGCAUGAGCACGAGAGUGGAAAGCGGGGGACCGUAAGGCCUCGCGCGAGAGGAGCGGCCGAUGCCGGAUUAGCCAGUUGGCGGGGUAAUGGCCCACCAAGGCGACGAUCCGUAGCUGGUAUGAGAGUACGACCAGCCACACUGGGACUGAGACACGGCCCAGACUCCUACGGGAGGCAGCAGUGGGGAAUUUUGGACAAUGGGGGCAACCCUGAUCCAGCCAUGCCGCGUGUGUGAAGAAGGCCUUCGGGUUGUAAAGCACUUUCGGACGGAACGAAAUCGCGCGGGUGAACAUCCCGCGUGGAUGACGGUACCGUAAGAAGAAGCACCGGCUAACUACGUGCCAGCAGCCGCGGUAACAC
rnacentral:rRNA from 1 species